GAGCAGAUGAUGAAUCAUUGAAACAAAUACUGAUCUUUAUUGUAUGAUGUUUCAAAAUUCGAGCUUUUUAAAACUGAUGCUCC